UGCCCAUUAUUCACGCUUACUUAGGGGGAGGAGCUUAAGCUGCUUUAAAGAGCUCAAGUGCCAUCACAGACGUGCCAUUUCAGCAUAAUGCUGCUCAUCACAAUUAUCCUGCUCUGUGCUGUUGGGAAUGGAAGGUUUGAGAGUCUCAUUACAUCAGACGAAACUGAGGUCUUUCAUGAGGAGGGUGACAGUAUCGCUUUGUCCUGUAGCUACUCAACAGCAAUUAGUUUGCAUUGGUACCGCCAGUAUCCCAAAUCAGCUCCUGAAUAUAUUUUAUUAAUUCUCCAAACCUCUGGACGGGUCCAGAGUGCAGAGAAUCUGGAUUCUCGGUUUUCUGUGAGACUAAAUGAAAAGAAAAACCGUGUGGAUCUGAUCAUCUCCUCUGCUAAAGUAUCAGACUCUGCUCUGUAUUACUGUGCCCUGGAGCCCACAGUGACAGGAAACACUAGAACACGGUACAAAAACCUGCCUAAACAUAGUAGAAAAGAUAUAGACCCAUAA